AUUGAACGCUGGCGGCAGGCCUAACACAUGCAAGUCGAGCGAGCGGCGGACGGGUGAGUAAUGUAUGGGGACUGCCCGAUAGAGGGGGAUAACUACUGGCAACGGUAGCUAAUACCGCAUACUAUCGGAUAACCCAUAUGGGAUUAGCUAGUUGGUGAGGUAAUGGCUCACCAAGGCGACGAUCCCUAGCUGGUCUGAGAGGAUGCUCAGCCACACUGGGACUGAGACACGGCCCAGACUCCUACGGAGGCAGCAGUGGGGAAUAUUGCACAAUGCGCGCAAGCGCGCCCCAGGAACGCCGCGUGAAGGAAGACUGUCUUAGGAUUGAAAACUUCUUUGGACAGGGACGCGGUACCUGUAGAAUAAGCCACGGCUAACUACGUGCCAGCAGCCGCGGUAAUAC
rnacentral:rRNA from 1 species